rnacentral:rRNA from 1 species
UACGUAGGGUGCAAGCGUUGCCCGGAUUUAUUGGGCGUAAAGCGCGCGCAGGCGGCGAUCUACGUCUGGGGUGAAAGCCCGGAGCUCAACUCCGGGACUGCCUUGGAUACGGGAUCGCUUGAGGAUUGGAGAGGCAAGGGGGAAUUCCACGUGUAGCGGUGAAAUGCGUAGAUAUUGGGAGGAACACCAGUGGCGAAGGCGGCUCACUGGACCGGAACUGACGCUGAGACGACGAAAGCGGUGGGGAGCAAAAGGG